rnacentral:rRNA from 1 species
AUUGAACGAUGGCGGCAGGCUUAAAACAUGCAAGUCGAGCGAGCGACGGACGGGUGGGUAAUGUCUGGGAAACUGCCUGCUGGAGGGGGAUAACUACUGGAAACGUUAGCUAAUACCGCCUACCAUCAUAUAUGCCCAGAUGGGAUUAGCUAGUAGGUGGGGUAAUGUCUCACCUAGGCGACGAUCCCUAGCUGGUCUGAGAGGAUGACCAGCCACACUGGAACUGAGACACGGUCCAGACUCCUACGGGAGGCAGCAGUGGGGAAUAUUGCACAAUGGGCGCAAGCCUGAUACAGCCAUGCCGCGUGUGUGAAGAAGGCCUUCGGGUUGUAAAGCACUUUCAGCGAGGAGGCGUUACUCGCAGAAGAAGCACCGGCUAACUCCGUGCCAGCCGCCGCGGUAAUAC